CCUACGGGCGGCAGCAGUGGGGGAUAUUGCACAAUGGGGGGAACCCUGAUGCAGCGACGCCGCGUGGGUGAAGGAGCGCUUCGGCGCGUAAAGCUCUAUCGGCAGGGAAGAAGAUGACGGUACCUGACCAAGAAGCACCGGCUAACUACGUGCCAGCAGCCGCGGUAAUACGUAGGGGGCAAGCGUUAUCCGGAUUUACAGGGUGUAAAGGGGGCGCAGACGGCAAUGCAAGCCAGGAGUGAAAGCCCGGGUCCCACGGCCGGAACUGCUCUUGGAAGUGCAUGGCUGGAGUACAGGAGGGGCAGGCGGAAUUCCUGGUGUAGCGGUGAAAUGCGUAGAUAUUAGGAGGAACACCGGUGGCGAAGGCGGCCUGCUGGACUGUGACUGACGUUGAGGCCCGAAGGCGUGGGGAGCAAACAGGAUGAGAUACCCGUGUAGUC
rnacentral:rRNA from 1 species